UACGUAGGGCGCAAGCGUUGUCCGGAAUUAUUGGGCGUAAAGAGCUCGUAGGCGGCCUGUUACGUCUGCUGUGAAAUCCCGGGGCUUAACCCCGGGCGUGCAGUGGAUACGGGCAGGCUGGAGGCAGGCAGGGGAGAACGGAAUUCCCGGUGUAGCGGUGAAAUGCGCAGAUAUCAGGAGGAACACCGGUGGCGAAGGCGGGUCUCUGGGCCGUAACUGACGCUGAGGAGCGAAAGCGUGGGGAGCGAACAGG
rnacentral:rRNA from 1 species